rnacentral:lncRNA from 1 species
GGGUACCCAGGCCCAGGUCUAGUGACAUUAUAUAUCCUGAGGGUGAAAAUUUCAUUGAAAUCAAAUAAAAAAAUUACUAAUCAAUAUAGAAAGACUUUCUCUUUUAAGUACAAAUAGAAAUUCAACAACAAACAGCUUAAGACACUCUUAAAUUAAAAGACUGCUGGUGAAAUUAGUACAGAAGAGGAACAGUCUCAGGAAAAGUGUAUGUUUGUCGAUUCAUGUGGGAAAGUGUGGCGGCAACUGGCAAGAAAUCUUAACGGUCGCCCAGGUUUGGUAGGCUAACUGCUGCAGUCUGCAAGGGGUGCGUGUGCGUCUCCGACUUUAUUGUCCCCAAAAUCCGCCUUCGGACAGCAAUCCACCACUCACGCGUUCCCCACACUGUGGAUCUCAAAUUUCAACUUAAUUUAGUAAUAUAUGAAAGCUAUUAAUUUAUUAAACAUCUGCUUAUACAAAAUAUCAUCCAGGAUUACUGAUGCGACUAUAUGUAUUUAAAAAAAAUAUUUGGAUAGUAUCAAUUAUAAUAGUUAAUUUUGUAUAUUUAUUAUUUAUAAGUUAUCUAAAUAAAGUAAGUCAUUUAAGGAAAGAAAAGUAAAUGCACGCUAUUUUAUUAUUUUAUGAAAUUUUGCAUUAAAUAUUAAAUUACAUGUCCGGUAGUUGGCAAAUAUCCUAUGAAAACUGCGCGUGGGCAUGAAAUUACUGCGAUUGGAGUUCCGUUUAAACUUCAUGCGGUACAGAGAAGACUCUUUAUUGUGGAAUUUAACACGUUCAUACAUAAACAACGAAUGAGAUUCACAAGAUUCUAACCACGUGGCCCAAGGCAGCCACCGAAACAGAGAAGCCGUCCAGGUACUUUUGGUUACAUUCUAGAAUGAGAGAAAGCAAGAAAAGGAAGGAAAAUCAAUUAAAAGCAAGCAAUUAAACUUUGAUUUUGAGUCUUACCCUUUUCGCUUGGGAAAUUCUCGACCUCAGAUUUUUUGUCUGGUUAGGAGUUGUCACGCCUUAAGAAAACCUUCUCACAUUCUUCUUGCUUUCCUCCUGCAGAACGCCUCCAUUUCUUACGUCUCCCAAAUUCUCUCACUUCGUGAAUUUGGUCAACAAUAACAAAAACAAUCCAAUUUUCUCGGAUUCCUAUUUGCACCUUUUUUAGUUUUCUUUAUUGGGUAUUUUUUUCACUUUCUUGAAUUGCGCCCCGAAUAUCUCCUGUAANNNN